CAUGUGUAAGCGAAGCUUUUAGUGGAGCGGUGAAAGGCUCAGUAACGGGCGAUUUAUUUGUUCUCCUGUGACGGACAACAUCGGGAAACUGAUGGGAAAACGUCUAAGUUGCAGUUAAUUGAUUGUGACGUAAACGAUUUUGUGCAGGAGAGUAAGAUGCCAUCCUAUCAGUUAGUAAGUAGGGUAAGGGCCUACUUAGACGA
rnacentral:rRNA from 1 species